rnacentral:rRNA from 1 species
AUUGAACGCUGGCGGCAUGCCUUACACAUGCAAGUCGAACGGUAACGGGCCUUCGGGUGCCGACGAGUGGCGAACGGGUGCGUAACGCGUAGGGAUCUGUCCCGAGGUGGGGGAUAACCCUGGGAAACUAGGGCUAAUACCGCAUGACACCUGAGGGUCAAAGGCGCGAGUCGCCUUGGGAGGAACCUGCGUCCGAUUAGCUAGUUGGUGGGGUAAAGGCCUACCAAGGCGACGAUCGGUAGCUGGUCUGAGAGGAUGAUCAGCCACACUGGGACUGAGACACGGCCCAGACUCCUACGGGAGGCAGCAGUGGGGAAUAUUGGACAAUGGGCGAAAGCCUGACCCAGCAAUGCCGCGUGGGUGAAGAAGGUCUUCGGAUUGUAAAGCCCUUUCGGCGGGGUCGAUGAUGACGGUACCCGCAGAAGAAGCCCCGGCUAACUUCGUGCCAGCCGCCGCGGUAAUAC